rnacentral:rRNA from 1 species
CAUCAACUUGAGAGUUUGAUUCUGGCUCAGAACGAACGCUGGCGGCAUGCCUAACACAUGCAAGUCGAACGAGACCUUCGGGUCUAGUGGCGCACGGGUGCGUAACGCGUGGGAAUCUGCCCUUCGGUUCGGAAUAACUCAGGGAAACUUGAGCUAAUACCGGAUGAUGACUUCGGUCCAAAGAUUUAUCGCCGAGGGAUGAGCCCGCGUAGGAUUAGCUUGUUGGUGGGGUAAAGGCCUACCAAGGCGACGAUCCUUAGCUGGUCUGAGAGGAUGAUCAGCCACACUGGGACUGAGACACGGCCCAGACUCCUACGGGAGGCAGCAGUGGGGAAUAUUGGACAAUGGGCGAAAGCCUGAUCCAGCAAUGCCGCGUGAGUGAUGAAGGCCUUAGGGUUGUAAAGCUCUUUUACCCGGGAUGAUAAUGACAGUACCGGGAGAAUAAGCUCCGGCUAACUCCGUGCCAGCAGCCGCGGUAAUACGGAGGGAGCUAGCGUUGUUCGGAAUUACUGGGCGUAAAGCGCGCGUAGGCGGCUUUGUAAGUUAGAGGUGAAAGCCCGGGGCUCAACUC